AGGUUCCUUGUUUCAGCCGGUGCCAUUUCAGAGCAGCCAGGUGCCCGUUGUGCUUCUGAUCUGAGGGCUCAUUGCAAGGCAGCUGCAGAGGCCUGGAAGGUUUUCCCUUCAGGCCUGACCCUGUUAGCACUGGGAAGGGCAGGAGAGCACACACAGAGCCAGGAGCUGACCUGGAGAGGAAGAAGGAGGCAGCAAAAUGCGACUCAGAGGUGUCCAAAAACCCUUUCCAUGCUGUGAGGAGGGUUGCCACCUGGAAAUCGAAGGAGGAAGCGCUCUGUACCUGGAAGAGCUUCAUGUGCUCAGGUGGAGCUGUUUCCAUCUGGAUAAAAUUAUUCUGUGGCUGGCACCUUGCACUCCAAGCUAAGCAGGGAAUCCAUCUAAUACAUAGAGGGAACACUGUGGCUGAUCUCUUGUCUCUCACUCAAAAGGAGACCCCUUGAGCCUGGCCGAACCCUGCACUAUUGAUAUAUGAGCAGGACGUGCAUCUGCUGGAUUUAUUCAUCAAGCAACUACAAGAGGUGCUUUCUAGGGAUUAAUGUUCUGGUGGGUGUGUGCAGAGGUUGCAGGGAGAAGGAAUUGUGGCAGUAGCUGGUUUACUGAAAAGACAGAAAAAUGUAUGUGACAGAAAUAGGGCCCUUAGCAAUGCAGAUAGCUAUAGAUCAAUGGAUGGGUUGCUUUCAGCGCCUCUGUUUGCUUUCUGCAACACCUAUUUGUAGAAAAAUAAAACAG